UACGUAGGGGGCAAGCGUUAUCCGGAUUUACUGGGUGUAAAGGGAGCGUAGGUGGUUCGAUAAGUCAGAUGUGAAAGCCCGGGGCUCAACCCCGGGAUUGCAUUUGAAACUAUCGGACUAGAGUGCAGGAGAGGUAAGUGGAAUUCCUAGUGUAGCGGUGAAAUGCGUAGAUAUUAGGAGGAACACCAGUGGCGAAGGCGGCUUACUGGACUGUAACUGACACUGAGGCUCGAAAGCGUGGGGAGCAAACAGG
rnacentral:rRNA from 1 species